GCUUAACACAUGCAAGUCGAACGAAGAGCGAUGGAAGCUUGCUUCUAUCAAUCUUAGUGGCGAACGGGUGAGUAACGCGUAAUCAACCUGCCCUUCAGAGGGGGACAACAGUUGGAAACGACUGCUAAUACCGCAUACGAUCUGACCUCGGCAUCGAGGAUAGAUGAAAGGUGGCCUCUACAUGUAAGCUAUCACUGAAGGAGGGGAUUGCGUCUGAUUAGCUAGUUGGAGGGGUAACGGCCCACCAAGGCGAUGAUCAGUAGCCGGUCUGAGAGGAUGAACGGCCACAUUGGGACUGAGACACGGCCCAGACUCCUACGGGAGGCAGCAGUGGGGAAUCUUCCGCAAUGGACGAAAGUCUGACGGAGCAACGCCGCGUGAGUGAUGACGGCCUUCGGGUUGUAAAGCUCUGUUAAUCGGGACGAAAGGCCUUCUUGCGAAUAGUGAGAAGGAUUGACGGUACCGGAAUAGAAAGCCACGGCUAACUAC
rnacentral:rRNA from 1 species